GUAAAUAUCAGGAUUGUGUUGACUCUGACACUGUAGCUCAGUUGGUUAGAGCGUUGCUGACAGAGGGUCUAUAGUUGCAUUUUUCGCAGCAAAAAGUAUUAAGGCAUAGCAAUCAAUAAAAUCAACAUACUCUAGCAAUGUUUGCAGGCAAGCAAAACACAUCAAGUGUCCACAUUGAGUUUGCAUGGGCAUGCACAACAACAUGUCACAACUGGUGCAGAUAAAUUUUUUAUCGAUUUUCUUACGAUCUUCAUCCGCGAUUCUUGUCCCUGGCAUGACGGAGGGAAAGCUUCAAC
rnacentral:lncRNA from 1 species